GGUCACACCCGUUCCCAUUCCGAACACGGCAGUUAAGCUCCUCAGCGCCGAUGGUACUGCCAGGGCAGCUUGGUGGGAGAGUAGGUCAUCGCCGAAU
rnacentral:rRNA from 1 species